CCUACGGGAGGCAGCAGUGAGGAAUAUUGGUCAAUGGACGAGAGUCUGAACCAGCCAAGUAGCGUGAAGGAUGACUGCCCUAUGGGUUGUAAACUUCUUUUAUAUGGGAAUAAAAUGUUCCACGUGUGGGAUUUUGUAUGUACCAUAUGAAUAAGGAUCGGCUAACUCCGUGCCAGCAGCCGCGGUAAUACGGAGGAUCCGAGCGUUAUACGGAUUUAUUGGGUUUAAAGGGAGCGUAGGUGGAUUGUUAAGUCAGUUGUGAAAGUUUGCGGCUCAACCGUAACAUUGCAGUUGAAACUGGCAGUCUUGAGUACAGUAGAGGUGGGCGGAAUUCGUGGUGUAGCGGUGAAAUGCUUAGAUAUCACGAAGAACUCCGAUUGCGAAGGCAGUUCACUGGACUGCAACUGACACUGAGGCUCGAAAGUGUGGGUAUCAAACAGGAUUAGAUACCCCAGUAGUC
rnacentral:rRNA from 1 species